rnacentral:rRNA from 1 species
GAUGAACGCUGGCGGCGUGCCUAAUACAUGCAAGUCGAGCGAACAGACGAGGAGCUUGCUCCUCUGACGUUAGCGGCGGACGGGUGAGUAACACGUGGAUAACCUACCUAUAAGACUGGGAUAACUUCGGGAAACCGGAGCUAAUACCGGAUAAUAUAUUGAACCGCAUGGUUCAAUAGUGAAAGACGGUUUUGCUGUCACUUAUAGAUGGAUCCGCGCCGCAUUAGCUAGUUGGUAAGGUAACGGCUUACGAAGGCAACGAUGCGUAGCCGACCUGAGAGGGUGAUCGGCCACACUGGAACUGAGACACGGUCCAUACUCCUACGGGAGGCAGCAGUAGGGAAUCUUCCGCAAUGGGCGAAAGCCUGACGGAGCAACGCCGCGUGAGUGAUGAAGGUCUUCGGAUCGUAAAACUCUGUUAUUAGGGAAGAACAAAUGUGUAAGUAACUAUGCACGUCGUGACGGUACCUAAUCAGAAAGCCCCGGCUAACUACGUG